rnacentral:ncRNA from 1 species
CACAAACUGGCCGCCCCCCCAACCCCCCCCACAAAAACAAAACCCAAUACUUAGUGGCACCGGGUGAGUCCAUGUGGGUAUCUUCCCUAUGGUGAGGAAUAACACGAGGAAACUUGUGCUAAUACCUCAUAAGUCUUUACGGAGAAAGCUUUAUGCGCCAUUGGAUGAGCCCGCACUUGAUUAGUUUGUUGGUAGGGUAACGGCCUACCAAGACUGUGAUCAAUAGCUGAUUUGAGAGGAUGAUCAGCCACAUUGGGACUGAGACACGGCCCAAACUCCUACGGGAGGCAGCAGUGGGGAAUCUUGCACAAUGGAGGAAACUCUGAUGCAGCGAUGCCGCGUGAGUGAAGAAGGCCCUUGGGUUGUAAAGCUCUUUCGUCGGGGAAGAAAAUGACUGUACCCGAAUAAGAAGGUCCGGCUAACUUCGUGCCAGCAGCCGCGGUAAUACGAAGGGACCUAGCGUAGUUCGGAAUUACUGGGCUUAAAGAGUUCGUAGGUGGUUGAAAAAGUUGGUGGUGAAAUCCCAGAGCUUAACUCUGGAACUGCCAUCAAAACUUU